AUCCUUCCAAUCAAUGAGGUGUACCAACCUCAUUGACCGGAAGGAAAUCCUUCCGGACAAUGAGGCAAAAUAAGUUGAUUGACCGGAAGGAAUUUGUUCCGGUCAAUGGUGUUGCUGUUUCUUAUCAACUGGAAGGAU
rnacentral:miRNA from 1 species